CCUUGGAUUGUUGUAGCAAAUGGACAGGUUGCUGAUUUGAUGGUAAGCUGGAGUUGCCAUGUUGAAUUCCACCCAUUUGCUGCUGUUGGAAACCAGAAAGAUUUGUCUGACCACCUGAUUGUUGUUGAUGCAUAUUUGGGAGGUUAUUCUGCUGACCAGUUGACUGCUGUUGAUGCAUGUUUGGAAGGUUAUUUUGUUGAUUGAUUGGCUGAUGCUGUUGCAUGUUGGAGAUGUUGUUCUGCUGAGCCAUGAUCCUUUGCUGUUGCUGUUGCUGUUGCUGAUGCUGCGUGUCGAUCAUGUUAUUCUGUUGGGCAAUCAUCUGAUUCUGUUGCAUGUUUGCAGUACUUGGCUGCUGGGCACUAAGCUGCUGUUGCUGCUGCUGAUUGGACAGCAUUGGGUGCUGAGACAUAGAACUUUGCUGCUGAUGCAUGACAGGAGGUGGUUGUGGUUGCUGCUGCUGUUGCCUGAGGACUGUUUGCGGUUGCUGUUGAAGCAUAGAUUGGGUUGAUUGCUGAAGAGAUGUCUGUUGAUUUUGAAGUGUUGACGAAGCCGAUGCUUGCCUCAAAGAAGAUUGCAUAACAGCUGGCUGAGAGGACUGGAGCUGAUUCGGCUGCAAUAGGUUUUGCUGCUGCUGUUGCUGUUGCUGCAUCUGAGAUGGCAUCAUGGGUUGUGGCACACCUCCCUGCCCAUAUUUUUGCUUCAACAUUUGCUGUUGUAGCUGCUGCUGAUUGUAAAGAUAUUGCUGUGAAUUCUGAGGCUGCUGUUGGGAAUCCUGUGGCCCAACCUGCUGCUGCCUACCUGGAAUCUGUCUCUGAGAGUUUGCAUACAUAUUAGCAGGCACACCUUGCCCCAUUGAAUUCCCUACUGCAUUUGGGGUUACAUUAGACAUGUUUUGCAUGUUAGGAUUCUGGACAGAAACAUUUGGCAUGGUACCCUGGGACAUGCCAACAGAGGGCAUUGCAGGUGUCAAACCAGCAGAAUUCGGCACCCCAGUUGAUGGGAUGUUAUUCUGGAUAUUUUGGGAUAAAAUCUGUUGCCGAUUGGACAUUGGAAUUGGUAAUUGCUGGACCUGAUUUUGCAUUUGGGACUGCAUGCUUUGAGAAGCUGCCGAAGAUGCACAGAAAGAGGACAGAUUUGUCAGGACAAAUAUAUUAACUAUUAAUAGCAAGGAAGCAUGUCAUAUUGAUGAAUAUGAAGUCCACUUAUGGGAAAAAUCAUCAAUCUUCAAGAAAAAAGCUAUAGCAACUCUAUUAAGAAACACUAAAAGAGUUACUCCCUCCGUCCCAUUGGGCUUGUCCCAUUUGGUUUCGGCACGGUUAUUAAGGAGAGUAUUAGUAGUGUUAAGUGUGUAGAUAAAGUAGGAGAGAGAAAGAGAGAGAAGGUGAUAAAGUAGGAGAGAGAAAGUGAUAAAGUGAAAGUAGGAGUGUUAUUUAUAGAAAUGGGACAAGAUGGUGGGACAAACAAAAAAGGAAUACGGGACAAGAUCAAUGGGACGGAGGGAGUAUAUUACAUGUCAAUUCAGAGUAUAGGCAUCCUCAAGAAGCAAGUGUAUCAGGAAAAACUGAAAAUGGCCAUCCUACUACUAUUAGAACAGGAAGUGAACCUAAUAGAGUAGAUCUACAGUGGAAUGUAGUUCAAGAAGGACAGAACUCAACUGUCUAACAAUAUUAGCCUGGUUAAGUGCGUUAGUAAUUAUGAUUAAUGUAAUUAAGCAAUCUACACCAUGCUAAAUGCAUCAGUAAUAGACUAAAUUGGCUCCCUUUCAUUAGAAUAAAUUUGAUGUUUCCCACUUAAUCUAUGUUGCAAGUUUGUUCAUCAUGACCUCUGAAGGUGGAAUUUGUUUCAGAGAAAACUGCAGGGUUAUUUACACACUAUUCCUAAUCCUAACAAUCUGUUAAGGAAUGUACCAAGGACUGAAAACUGAAAAGAGUUACUUGGGUCAAGAACAAUCCAGAGAGAAUGUUCAAGGUGAGAUGAUGAACCAUCAAGUCAAGUGUUUGAAACCUUUUAAUAUAAUUACAAGUCAUUUAUUCUACCUUUUCUACUAAUUCGACUUACAAGCAAACAAAUUAACAAGUAUAAAGAACAAUUCGUGCUAAUUUAUUGCUAAUUUGAGCAAAUUAAAUGUUUAGCUAAUAUGGUUCAUAAGCUGGGUGAGUUUCAAUACACACAGUUACUGGCUUACUGCACAAUAUACUAAAUCCAUCAGAGGGGUAACAUAAAGUGAUCAUCAAAAAGUAAAUCAACGGGUGGUACAAUUAGCUCUGCCAGGGAAAAGAGAUAUUUUGAGCAAUGUCUGGAAUCUCCAGAAAUCCCUUUAUAUUUCAUUGAUACUUCCGCCAGGAAAUACUGAUAUUGACUAGUUCACCUUACAAAUUGGGCGAAAAUGUAAAAAGUUAUCAGGGACACUGAAAUAGCAAAAGAGGUUUCUUUACCAGGAUCUUGGGGAUUUUUGCUAUUACUUGCAGCAUUAGACUGAAGAGAAUUAGGCAUAGGAUUCUGGGAUUUAGUCUCCAUCGUCAACAUUUUCAAAGAUAUCUUUCUUAAAUAAUCUGACUGUAAACAAAUGAAAAUGGUCAAAGUUACUAUCAAUUUUAGUACGAGGAGGCCAAGCACUCAAUUACAAUAUCGGCUUUGAAACGACCAAAACCAAACCAUGUGUCAUGUAUACCUGGCUAGUUGCCGCAGUAUAUAUUUUUUCCUCAAAUCUCACGGCUAUUUUCUUGAGUUCUUGCAGUCCCUCUUGUCCAGAGAAAGGAAGAUGCCUCUUCAAUGUCUCCAUUCUAUUAAUUGAGCAUCAUAGUGUUAGUCUGAAAUUGAUGACAAGAGCUGGGGAUGAAAGCUUUAUGUAGAAAAAAAUUGUACUGAUCUUUGGGUAAGAACGUAAGAUUUCAACUAGAAAAGGCAAACUUCACAAGAAAGUUAACCAGCAUAAGUCCAUAUCAAAUGGUAAUUACUUGACUUUCAGAUGUUCUCAAGCACAGCACUCAAUGCAGUACAACCAGAUAUGGAAUAUCUCGUACCAGAAUUGCAAACAAGACAUCUACUUCCUCAUCUCAUAUGCACUUGAAUAUUUCAUACCCCAUUAACAAAGAUCCAACUACACCUUGCAUUGUAUAUAGGCCCAAUCACCAUUGGAUUCUCCCAAGAGUGAAAGAAAAACUUUACCACUGUAAUUCUUAUUUGACAGGUGAUUAUCCCCCCCCCCCCAUUUGGACGUUCAGCAGGGAAUAUUGCAAGAGAGCACACACCACAGGGACCAGAUGACUAGAUAUACCAGACAUUCUAGCUUCAGCUGCCUACUAAAUCACAUUCAAUUCCUCAAUAUAAUCACCAUAUUAGAUGACAUAAUUCCAUGAUAUGGGAUCAGAGAGAAAUCAAGGUCAGUCCUUAAAAGUAUUGUUCGAUCUAAAACAAAGGGAACUUAAAGAGAAUAAGGACCUUAACAAGUGAGCCCUUUAUGGCUAACUUUUAUUUCUCAAGAAGCAUGACACAUCAACUGAACUUUGUGAAGUUGCAAAACAAUUUAUUAUUUGAAGCACCUAGAAGCAAGUAUUGACGUAUCCAAAAAUUCCAAAAUAUUUCUGUAUUUUGGGGUCACCCAACCAAAAAAAAACAGUUAUUUUCUGAUAUUGGCAUUGAAAUAUAUUUAGCGAAAUUUUGUUAAAACAAACAUAACCAUAUUUUUUCAUCCUUGCCUAGAGGAUCUAAACCACAAAAUCAACUUCAGGAUUCAAAUAUCCAAAAAACUCCCAACAUUUCUGUUUUCAGGUCGCCCAUACCCGAAAAAUAAAUAAAUAAAAUCAAUUUUUUAUCUGAUACUGAUAUAAAAACUGACAUGUUUAGAAAAAUUUGGUUAAACCUAAGUACCAAUAUUCUCAUUCUUACCUAGAGGAGCUAAACCACAAAAUCAACUUUACGGUUCAAAUGGACUAGAGGAGCGAAUGUCCUACACUCUAUGAAGGUUAUAUAACAUAGAGAUUUAUUGAUCUCCUUCAACAUUUGUUGUGACUUCUUCACAUUAACUUAGAAGCAAUGUUUGUUAUUUCCAAACAAGUGGGUAAAUCCAGGUUGAGAUAAAAGGAACGAAUGACCAUUAACAUGGUUUUUACUUCGACUAAUUUAAAAACCUAAUGUUUAGUCAAACAUGUGCCGGGAAUCUAACCUAUGGUCAUGCAGCACUUAACAUAACUUUCUCUCCAUCCAUUUGAAUCUGAAGCCUUAAAGAGUUCCACACGAAAAUCUGAAACCAAGAUAGUAUAUGUACUGGUUCCACACAGCUAAGAAAACAUAAACUCACGAACUCAAAUACUAAAAUAAAGUGAUCUAAUCUGAUAACUCCUUACAAAGAACAUAACCAGAAGGAAAGCCUCAUGUUUAUCUCUUUUGUCCAUCUUAAUAAGUGUCAGAAAUGAAAUGAUAAUAAAAUUCGGAAGCAGGUAAAGAAUCAAGAUAAACCAACAAAAGUGGCAAGCUCAAAAACACCGAGUCAACACAAAAACAAUCCAAAGGGAAACACGGAAACUUACAUCUUGUUCACAAUCCUCUGUCUGGAGUCCUGCUGCAGCUGAGUCCUCCAAUCGCCGCCUUCCAUUCCGCCGGCGGGCACUGCUUCGCCGCCGAUGACCUGACCGGGCAUCUGAACCUGCCCCUGCGCCGUCCGCCAAUUGUUGCUGUCCAUUUCCAGCCGCCUGAAACAACCACAAAUCGCCACACUAAUUCAAACACCGCCAUCAUCUCACCUCUCCGAGCAAAACAAGAGACGAAUUGAAGUAGGUAUUGCAUUAAAUUGAGAUUUUGACUGCAAAUUUGACCUUAGAGGAAUCAGCGUGCGCGGGAGCGAGAUCGGCGAUGAAAUUGGAGGAAAUUGAGUUGUGGCGGAAUGCAAUAAUUGUAAAAUCAAAUCAAAAAAUGGAUGAUUUAUAGAGUGGCGUGGGAGGUGAGUGGGUUUGGGGUUAGGGUAUCUAUGUAGCAACGAAGAGCAGAGGAAGAAGUAUUUCUACAUACAUUAUUGCAAUAAUUGUUAUUUAUUGCUUCUCUUUAUCGAAAGACAAAAAAGGGAAUUUCCAUUUUAAAACCUUGUAAUUUAGUGCUUUUUUUUCUCAUAAAUCAAAAAUAUUAUUUUAUUUAAUUUACUAAAUUCUUAAGCACAUAUCUAGAAUAAUUUCGAUUUCUUUGGGUAACUGAAAAUCUCGUGAAAAUCCUUUUUGCUUUUUUUUUUUAAUAAACUAGAUUAUAGGUAGAUUAUAGAUACGAAUUUGUUGAGAAAAACGAUAAAUAUUUGGUGGGGGACUCAUUUGUAAUUUAGAUCUAGCUUUUGAAUAAUAGUACUCCCUCCCUCCAUCAUUUUUUGACGGAGUUGCUAACGGCACGGAUUUUAAGAAAUUGGUGUAGUAUACUAUAAGUGAAACGAGGUUCCCACCCUAUUAUGAGUGAAAAAUUACUAAAAAUGAAAUGGGUCAAGAAUUGGUAGAUGGACGAAAAUAACAAAAUUGAUCAAGAAUUGGUGAAACGAAGGAAGUAAUAAUGAUUACUUACGUCAAAAUACACUAAUUCUAGGGUAAUUUGAUUUUGUGUGAUAUGAAUUUUAAUAUUGUAAUAAUUUUACCAAAUAUUCAUUUUUUUUCGCUCAAAUUAAAGCCGACAUAAACGUUUAAAAAAACGACAUAGUAUAGUACAGUCUCUAAACAAUGCCGUUUUAAGAGGAUUUACAAAAAGUGAAACCCAAAAAUCGUAGUAUUUCUGUAAAGUCCAAAUAUCUACAAAAUAAAUUUGUCGUAAAUUUGCUAAAACAUUAAAGUUCAUGUGUUUUUUUUACUUAUUUCAAAGUUCACGUGCAAAUCAAACUACCUUCAAAAUUAAUAUAUUUAAACAGCAAUAACCGUAAUAAUAAUAAUAAUUUAAUUUUCUUAUUAGUGUCAACCAUGUUUCAGAAAGGCGAAUUUAGCCGCGCAUAGUUUAGCUAAAUUCUCAAGAGCUUGUUUGGAGUCCGUGUGUUGGACGAGUGCUUUCCCUGAUUGGUUGAUGGACAUUGCUGCUAAUGAUUUGAAGUAAUAUAUCUAUGAUUCUCCUGUUUCAAAACAAUAAUAAUAAUCCAAUUUUGAUAUUCUUUUGUAAUUUAAAUCUAUUAAAUUUUUUUAUACCUGAUUGGACUUGAGGCUUAGAUAUUCAUAAAGUUGAAAUUCAAAAUUGACUUGUGGAUUUUUAAAGCCCACUUAUCUUAUCUAUAUUGUCAUUUAAUGUCGUCGAUUUCAUUGUUGGAUGUUGAUGCAACGAAUUAACAACAAACAAUGAAUUUUAAAAGUGCUCAAUCAAUUUCGAGUUUGAAUGCUAAAUGUAUAUUUAAAUCUCAACUCCACUCUUCAUGUAUAGAAAUAUAUACAACUAAAUUGCAACAAAUAUUUAAGACAUUAAUUGCAAAUAUAUUCAUAUGUUGCCCCAAGUAGCUUGAUUUAAUAAAACGUUCAUUUCCAUGAUUGCAUCAAAUAUCACAAUCUUUAAUCGAAAAUUAAGAGCUUUUUUAUAGAAAAUAACUAAAUUCAUUUUCACAUCCGUCCACCAAAAAUAUCACUUUUCAUUUUUAAAACAUAACCACACAUCUUUUUCUUAUCAUUUAUCCUUACAAAUACUUCUUAAUUCCAAAAAAAUUACCAAAUAUUUUAUUAAAACUCGUGCUCAGCCAAAAUGACAUACUUACAGUAGACGGAGGGAGUAUAACAUUCUCGGAUAACCAAAUAAGAGAAUUUCUUAAAUAUAAAUAUAUAAGGUCGGGAUCAAGUGAGAAUUACAUAUGCACAAGCACCUAAAAUCCAUGAAUCCAAAAUAAACAAAUCAAUAUGAAUUUUAGGUGUUUAUGCAUAUAUUCUCAAUUCUAUAAAAAUGCAAUUCUCACUUGACCCUUCCCCAAAAAAGACAUAUAUACCAAUAAAUUUGGAAUACUAAAAGAAAUGCAACUGAUAUAAACAAACCACUGAACAAAAACACGCAGAAGCUAAGUGUUUAAUCAUAGAGUUGCAGUGAUUGACACAAUUUUCCAACAUGAUUAACUAAAAAAGCAUAAGAAUUUUCCCAAAGUAGCUGCAUACUAGAUACCAAACUACUAUUGUUCUUGAAAUAUUAAAGUGCAGUUCAUCUCACCAGCUCAAUAAACCCAGCACAGUGGAGCAUCAUCUGCAAUAUAAGAAGCUAAGCUUAUUGAAUAAUCACCAAAAAAAUGUCGAGACAAGAACAAAAAGAGCCUAAGGAAACUCGACUUACCAACAUGAACAGGAGCAUUACGCAAAUGAUUAGGACAUAAGUACUCGUCGGCAUCAUUUUUUGUCCAGGCAACCGUUCAAAUAGCUUGUCCUGCUGGAUUAACGGCUGUUUUAGCAUAUUUUGCUGCUUCGAAGUUUGCUGCUGCUGGAUUGGCAGCUGCUUCGAUGUUUGCUGCUGCUGCUGGAUUGACGGCUGCUUCGAAGUUUGCUGCUGCAGCUGGAUUACGGGCUUUUGCAGCAUCGGUUGUUGUUGUUGCUGCUGCUGGAUUAAGGGCUUUUGCAGCAUCAGUUUCUGCUGCUGUUGCAGCAUCACUUGCUGCUGCUGCCAGAUUAAGUGCAUAUACACCUGUUGCUGCUGCUGCUGCAACUGGUGGUUUAAGGACUGCUGGAUUAAGGACUGUGGCUGCGGCGGCAGCUGAAUUAAGGGCUGCAUAUAUUGUUGCUGCUGCUGCUGCUGCAGUCUUAGCAUAUAUUGUUGCUGCAACACUUGCCGCUGCUCUAGCAUCUGUGAUUGAAGUACAAUCCAACAACAAAUCUUGAGAAGGAAAUCAUAAAGGGUGAAGCAUAAAAGCAGAAGGCUAAAGGAGGAAAUCACCAGGGAAAAUAGAUAACCUGCAAUUGAAGGCCUAAAAAAAGUUUAGAUGGGGAAUAUAAGAUGUAUUUAACAAUACCUUUCGAUACUCCUUUGGCCAGUCAACAGGAGUUGCACUCCCCAUGGUGACGAGGAAUCUAAAUAGGGCACAAUUAUCAUGGGUUAGCUAGCUGAACAAAUAAGAAUAACAAAUCUUACAUAUAAAUGAUAGCACUGGCACCAGCACAUGUAUUCGACUGUUGUUGCAAACCCAAUUGAUUUUCCAGCUGCCCUGGCUGUGACUGGAUCUGAGACUUCAACUGCUGUUGCAUUGGCUGUGACUGGGAUGGUUGUGCUUGGUUAGAAAACAUCAUUGCCAAUUUCUGCUGCAUUAGCUGCUGAGCUACAACCUUAGAUUGCUGUUGCUUAUGGACAGCUUGCGGAUUUGUUUGUAAGUUGGAGUUACCAUGUUGAAUUCCACCCAUUUGUUGCUGUAGGACACCAGAAAGAUUCGUCUGACCACCCGAUUGUUGUUGAUGCAUAUUUGGGAGGUUAUUCUGCUGAACAGUUGACUGUUGUUGAUGCAUGGUACCCUGGGACAUGCCACCAAUAGGUGGCAUCGCUGGUGUCAAACCAGCAGAAUUCGGCACUCCAGUUGAUGGGAUGUUAUUCGGGAUAUUUUGGGAUAAAAUCUGUUGCC
rnacentral:lncRNA from 1 species